UACGUAGGGUGCAAGCGUUGUCCGGAAUUAUUGGGCGUAAAGAGCUCGUAGGCGGUUCGUCGCGUCGGCUGUGAAAACCCGGAGCUCAACUCCGGGCCUGCAGUCGAUACGGGCGGACUUGAGUUCGGCAGGGGAGACUGGAAUUCCGUGGUGUAGCGGUGAAAUGCGCAGAUAUCAGGAGGAACACCGGUGGCGAAGGCGGGUCUCUGGGCCGAUACUGACGCUGAGGAGCGAAAGCGUGGGGAGCGAACAGG
rnacentral:rRNA from 1 species